rnacentral:lncRNA from 1 species
GGUCCCUCUGGUUGUGCUGUGUGGGACGCCACCUCAGCGUGGCUUGAUGAGCGGUGCCAUGUCCACACCCAGGAUCCGAACUGGUGAAACACUGGGCCGUGGAGGCGGAGCACGUGAACUCACCCACUAGGCCACGGGCCUGCCCCUGGGAUUUUCGUUUAAAAUCAACAAAUAAAUCUUAAAGAGGGGCCGGCCUGGCCGAGUGGUUAAGUUUGCGUGCUCCGCUUCGGUGGCUCAGGGUUUCACCCAUUAGGAUCCUGGGCGCGCCAGGUCGGAUCCUUUUGAAGCGGUGGCAUCUGCAGCCCUUUGUUAAAGGCUCUACUUCCCAUCAGGCAGGGCAGCCUCUGUCUGCCUUCCACGGGUGCCGACAGGAAGCCUAGGCCUGUGGUUUUCCAGGAAGAAGGCAUAGGAGCUGAGCCCAAACUUUGCCUUCCUUAAAACUGCAAAGCUGGUGGUAGAAAUGUACAUGAGCCGCUGGGGUGGGAAGGCAUGUGAAUGUUUGCAAUGUAAGUGUUUAAUGAGAGAAGACGCAGGAAAACGGGGGGACGCCUUACCUUUGGUUGAGUGGGAAAGAAAUGAGAGAAAGGGGCCCAUUUACUGGGGGGAGAGGUCAAAGGUGUCUGCUUCCGGGUUGCCAAUGGGCCUGUUAGGUUUGUUGAUGACGAUAAACCUGAUAGAACUGGGUUUUUUCUUUCUUUCUUUUUUUUUUUUAAAAAAAAGCUUUGGUUAAGAGAGCCAUAACCUAGAGGGCUCUUUUAUUUUUCUUAAAUGGGGAAAUUACUUCGACCUAGAAGAGCUUUUUUUUAAAAACUUCACUCUAUAUUUAUUAUCAUUAGUAUUGAUAUAAUUUUGAAACUUUUAUGCAUAUAGAAUAAAGCAUGAAUUACUCCCUUGGGGAGGAGAUUGUUACAAAUGAAGAUUCCUAGGCCAGACUGGUUACAGAUGGGCCUCAGAGCAAACGUGUGGAAUGAUGGAUAUAAGGCUGAAUUUCUUAACUGUCGAAAAAGUAAGAAAGAACUUGAAAUUAGUAUGAGAAAUAAAACAGAUGACGGAAACUUUUUCGUGAAACAGUGCAACUACAAUAUGCGAAAAAGUAGACAGGUAAAGCACACACACUUGGGAAGUGGAAACAUCUCGAAGUACCGUAGAUGUGAGAAAUAGAAAGAUGACACUGCAGAGCCAUAGUCAGCUGAGCAUGGACGUUGAGAUACUUGUCCGGUAAUUAUCAGGGCCUUGAAGUAUAUGAAGUCCAUUUUUGCACCCCCACCCUCUUCUCUCCCUCUCAGUUUUCCACCCUGCAUUUUCACAGUCUGGGCGGCCCAGGAAAUGCCCUGUUGUCUCGGCUUUCCCUUGGCUCCACAAUUCACAUUUGCCUGCUAUCCCCACUUGAUCAGAUACACCAGCCGCUGGGAGAGGCUCAGGGGGUUUCUCUCCCGGGCAACUUCUUUUUCACAGUGAGUGCCCUGACAUCCAGAUGUCUCAACCGAAAGGACUGAGUUCAUAGUGAGAACCUCAGGUAUUCCACAGAGCCCAGAGGAGGAGGUAGCCAGGGGCAGGUGGAUGGUCUGUUCAGAUGUGCUCGUAGCAGCAGCCGAAGUGAGGAGAGUGUAAUUCACAAGAACGUCACUUCCCGUUUUUGGAGCUCAUCAGUGGGCAGGCACUGUGCAUUUUACUCAUUGUCUGAUUUAAUACACAGAACGAGCCUUUCGGCUAAGUUUUACGGAUAAACUGAGGAGGACAGUAUGUAAAUUAACGGGCACAGCUAUGUUCCAAUAAAACUUUACAAAACUGGCAAAGAGCUGGACAUUGUGGCCCCUCUAGGUCCACCCACAGAGGCUCUGGCUUAUCCAGCAGCUGCCUUGAAGGGCUGGACAGCUAAGCCCUAAAUGCAGGGAGGUUAACACCUAGUGGGACAGGCAAAAAGGCCAAUGAGAGAGCAGAAGCAGGAAGGUGCUGGCAGAUAAAUUGCUCAUACUUCCCUCCUCCCCCAAUGGAUGUUUCCGACAAGUGGUUUCAUACAGCCCUGAGCAACCAGCUGUGUUUCUUGGAAAUCUGUGGCCAGUUCAUAAAGAUCUCAUUGGACAGCAGAUUCUGAUUCCGGAUGUCUGGGGCGAGGUGCAAGACUGUGUUUCUAGCAAGCUCCCAGUGAUGUGGAUGCUGCUGGUCAAUGGCUCGUACUUUGAGCAGCAAGGCCCUAGAGCUUGUGUCUCAACCUGAAAAAGAAAGGGAACAUCCAGGCCGUAUUUAAAUUUGGGGAGGGCUUAGUUCAAAACAGAUGCAGAAAAACUGAUCAACAUCCAACUAAGCCAAAGAGCAUUGUAAGGCCCCAGGGAGUGAGGACUGUUUGGGACCAGCUUCGGACAGAAGUCAGGAUGCUGGGAGGAAAAGGAAGCAAAUGGAAGAGGAAGAAGAUAGAUAAGGACUGGGAGGGAUAAACGAAAGCGAUUUCGUGUUGAGAAAGAGAGAAUGUCCUUUCAGGUUGAAACUUAAAGAACAUUCCCCCAGUCUAGAUCAAAGCAGAGGCCGGGGCUCUGAUACACUCUGACAGAAGCGCUUUUUGCACAGAUGAGCAGCUCAGUGCCUUCAAAUGGACCAAUCUAAUUGCAAACGAAUCCCACCUCAUUGACACCAUUUUAAAUGCUUUCUCUCUGAAACCAACUAGCCAGUCAUUAAAUAAAUAAAGCUCAAAUGGAAAGCAAAACAGGGUUCACUUGACAGAGAUUCGAAUUUCAAUUCACAGCUAAAUUUGCUGGAACACAGCUAUUCUGUGAAGAAAGAACAAGUGUUAACAGUCUCAUGAAGUAAACGUAUCAAAAGUAACAGUAUAGUAAGCUGCAAUUGACAUUAGUGAUGGAAUAAACACCAAGGAAAAAGAAAAGGAAACAAAAAUACAUUAAAAGCUGCCUGUGGUAUCAGUAGUUAAUGCUAUUAUUCUUAAAUAAAUGUUUAAUGACUAAGAGAACAGAGCCACAAAUAAAUGGGCAAGCAUGAACAAUUAAGGAUAGUUCAAUGGUGAGUUAAAUCAAGGAAAGUGUUUUACAUGUAAAUCCACAUUUUGUGCUUUUUCUGAUGUGCAUGAAAGCAUAAGUAAUUCUACAUUCCUUCAUGGUUAGAAACAAUUAUUCUUACAUUUACAUAUCUAAAGACAUUUCUCUAGCAUUCUUAUAAUGAGGAAUGGCAGCAUUUCAGUUCAAUUCACCUUAUCCUAUAAACUGACAUUUGGAUCUUUCAGCUCAAAAAGAGAAAAAGUUUUUGUUUUUAAUGAAAAUUUCCAACACUCAAAAAGCAAUGUAAUGAUUUUGAGACCCAGAUGCUCAGCUGUGUAUUUGAGGUCAAUUGACAAACACUUAAGGCCGAUUCAAGGCAAAUUCUUUUCUAUAAAUCUGCUCUCU